rfam:Lupinus angustifolius cultivar Tanjil chromosome LG07, whole genome shotgun sequence.
GUGAAUGAUGAUACAUGCACUGGGCUCUGAGCAGUCUUUGCUGCACAUUUGAUGGAUAAGUGUGGCCUAGAAAACCAUGUCUGACAU